rnacentral:tRNA from 1 species
AGUCCUGUAGUAUAAGAAAUACUUAAGAUUGCAAAUCUUUAGACGGAGAUUAAGGCUCUCCCGGGGCUU